UGGGAAAGGAGACCAAGCCCCAUGG
rnacentral:piRNA from 1 species